rnacentral:lncRNA from 1 species
CUGUCCUGUGGGAAGCUGGCUGGAGGUGGAGGAGGCACCUGGACUCCAGUAUAGUCUCGCUUCCACAGGGAGGGUUGGCAACCUGUGUGCUGGUGUCUUGUUCUAGAGAAAAUUUAACCUAAUUCAUCAGCAAGAUUAUGUUGAGCCCCAGUGGUGCCAGGCCAUAGCUUUGUGCUGGGUAUUUGCAGGUACUUAUUUAGAAAGACAUUCAGUGUUUGCUUCUAAGGAGCUCAUGGCUUAAGAGCAAGUAGAAUAUGUGAAGAAAUGUGAAGGAUGCUUUGCUUGGUUGAGGAGCAGUAUUUGAUUUUUUGUUUCUGGGUUAUCUCACAUAGGAUUAUGGCCUCCAGCU